rnacentral:rRNA from 1 species
UACGAAGGGGGCUAGCGUUGCUCGGAAUUACUGGGCGUAAAGGGCUUGUAGGUGGCCAACUAAGUCAGACGUGAAAUCCCUCAGCUUAACUGGGGAACUGCGUCUGAUACUGGAUGGCUUGAGUUUGGGAGAGGGACGCGGAAUUCCAGGUGUAGCGGUGAAAUGCGUAGAUAUCUGGAGGAACACCGGUGGCGAAGGCGGCGUCCUGGACCAAUACUGACACCGAAAAGCGAAAGCCAGGGGAGCAAACGGG